UACCGCACCUGUUUGUCUGCGUUUC
rnacentral:piRNA from 1 species